CUUAGCCAUUGUACAACAGAGGCCAUUCGACCUAUUAGGAUAUGCUGCCAAUUUCAACCCCCAAAGUCCCCUCUACAACUCCGAUCUCGACGGAGGAAAUAGGGACUUCGAUGGCGCGUUCGCAAAGGAGGAGCUAGCUAGAGGUGGUGGCGCAUGUGGAGACCGAUUCCAUGCGAGGCUGCGGUGCAACUUGGUCCUAGGGUUUCAGCUCCUGGUGCCGAAGUUCGGGCCAUCUGGGCUAUUUUAGGAGUGGGCUAGGAUUUGGUUUAUUUAUUAAUUGAGCUGGGGGUUUCGGGUUUUGGGUAUUGGCUGUUAAUUUUGUUAGGGAUUUGGGCUAAUGAAUGUAAAUGGACAUUGGACCUUAUUUUAUUUUUACUAUUUUUAUAUUUUGGUUUUUUGGUUCUUGUAUGGGCCUGGGAGAAAUGAGCCUGUUACAAUCUUUUUUAGAAUUAAUUUUAGAUUUUUGUGUAAAAAAAUUAUGGUUUUUCGAUAAAUGGAAAAAAGUUGUGGUUAUAACA